GACGAACGCUGGCGGCGUGCUUAACACAUGCAAGUCGAACGGACAGGCCCUGCUUGCCGGGUACUCGAGUGGCGAACGGGUGUGUAACACGUGGGUGAACUGCCCUGCUCUUCGGGGUAAGACUGGGGGAAUGGGUCUAUUACAGGAUAGAAGAUAGUUUUAGAGUGAUGGUUGGAAAGAAUUUUCGGUGUUGGAUGAGAGUGCGGCCUAUCGGCUUGUUGGGGGGGUAAUGGCCUACCAAGGCGGCGGCGGGUAGCCGGCCUGCGGGGGGGGACGGCGACCAGAGGACUGAGGGACGGCCCAGACGCCAACGGGACGCAACAGGGGGGAGUCUGGCACAAUGGGCGCGAGCGUGAUGCAGCGACGCUGCGGGGGGGAUGACGGGUUUCGGGUGGAAAACUCCUUUCGCUAGGAACGAAGCGUUUUGUGACGGUACCUAGACAAGAAGCCCCGGCUAACUACGUG
rnacentral:rRNA from 1 species